rnacentral:lncRNA from 1 species
GGGAAAUGUCUAUCCUGCCAGCAGUGGAACACUCCUUUGGCACCACUUCACCUAAAACUUGAUCGAAUCCAAAAAUUAGUACAACUUUCCAAACCAGUCUCCUGCUGUUUUCAUUCACAGCUCCCUAAUUCACGUCCUAAGUAGCUGGGGCUUGCAAAAGCAGGUGCUACUUAGACACAAACAUUUGUACCUUAUGUUGCCUCUCCGAAUCUUGCGCUCAACUCACCCAGUAAGUUAGAAUAUGUUAAAUGUUCUAUCCCUUGUGUUUUUAAACCCCCACCAAUUUGCUGAAUUGUCUAUUUACCCUCCUACCAAACAGGAGUUAGCGAAGUCCUAUCCUGAUUGGUAUUACAUAGUUCUCGUAAAUUAAAUGAUUCCUUUCUCCCUCUUGAUUUUUCAGCAAGCAGAACUUCAUUAAUUACAAAGAAACAUAAAAUAUAUUAAUGUUCUUUUGUUCCUUCAACAUAAGCAUUUGCUUUCUUACAUAAGCAGAUAAUCCCUUUGUAUACUGGCCAGACCACUAGAAGAGCUAAAUGGCAAGAAUAAGCAUUUCUGGAAACCAAAAGAAAUUUUAAUGAAAUGGGAAAAGUUUUAAAAAUGCCAAGAAAAGGAAGGUGGACUCUUUACAUUUAUAAUUCCAGUUUCUAUUUUGUAUCAAUAUAUGCUGCAUUUUCUGACUGAAACUGCUCUUCUAAUGAAACCUGAGAUUUUCUGUAGCCACUUUUAACAUUUGAAAUCAAACUUUCACACAGGGGGUUCAACGGUAACCUGUUAGGGAUUUGAUUAAAAUAGUCUAACCGUUUCAUUAAUUCCCUUUUUAUGGGCUUUGAGUAUGGACGUCAUGACUUCACUAUCUCAAAAACUGUGGACAGAAAUCUAUGAAGCCUGUAGACUGUGGUUUCUACACCUCAAAGAAGACACAGAUCUCCCUCUAAGCAGUGAAUCAGCGAAUAAGAAACUGCAGUGUCCUCCGAUUCCUGACCCUUCCACCUUUCAUGGCCUUUUUUCUAUUCCCAUUCAUUGAGCGGUCAUGUGUUCUUGUAAAACAGAGAACAACUUACAUGCAAUCAGGUAUGGACACAAGAAAUGCGCGUGCACUCGAUUUCAGGACUCAGAUACUCCCACAGUCUCAGGACUGCGGUUCACUCGGCAUUCUUGUUAAUGGUGUGGCUUUGCUAGAAAAUAAGUUGCUGUUUCCUUUGCUCUAGUACUUCAGGAUUUUAAAUGUUUCAGCAAAUGAAAGAAAGAAAACACAUUUUAAGGCUGGUGUCAAAAACCAUCAGCUAUACUUGCAAAAAGCCGUGGUGCAGCUUCUGCCGUGUAGUUUAUUGCUAUAAAUAUGUACAGUUUAUGUUUUAUUCCUAAAACACAGAUAAAAGCUUAGUGUGUACUGUGCUCAAAGACAUGCAAGAUUUCAGGCCUAUCUUUUUAUAAUCCUUAAAAAUGUUUAGAAUUCUGAAUCUAUCAUUUCGGAGUCUUUAUUAUAAGAUUUAAUACAAAGCAAAAUCCCUUUAUUUGGAAGAAAUUCUUUGCAGUGUUAUCCAACAAUCCAACAAGUACUGGGGGCAAAGUACCAGCACUUUUUCAGGAGCUUAUUUCUGUACCACUUUGAUUUUUAGGGGUAAGAAAUUCUUUAAGAUAACACGCCUUACGAACAUUUGGACACAUGGAGUGUUCAUGUACUAGAAAAAAAGAAGAAAUUGUCUCUUUGUAUUAAAAAAUGAUGCCUAAAAUGGACUUUAAUAGCAUCCAUUUGUGAGGUGCAUUAUGUCAAAUUUCUUUUAAAAUCUGCACUGUAAAUACGAAUAUCAGGGUUGGGGUAUUUGUCGUCUUUCCUAACUGGAAGACCUCCAAACUCCAAAUUCAUUGUCUCCCCUCAGAAAUAAUAUGUUGACAAUAA